AGUGUUCACAGUGAGACACAAAAUGGAACUGACCCUGAGAUCCAGCCAAUACCUCCAGCCUUUAUUCCCCACCCAACCCCCUGCACCCGGGGAAGACACUGAAACAGAUGCUGUGAACUUCAGUCUGGUCCUGAUCCCACGUGCUGGCUCCCAAGAGGGACCAUCAGGGAGAUGUUCCUCCUCCACGUGCACAUCCUCAGGAUCAAAGGAAACGAAUUCUGAAACUCCUGUGAUCUCCACACAGGAUAACUCUGAACAACGUGAACAAUUACCAAGUCUGUGAUAUUGCACAAAUAAAUAACACUUACCAUUA